UUCUUCUAGAUGCUCCAAACUUUGAGCAAGGGGAGUCGAAAAGAGAUAUGCCAGUUUCGCACAUUCCCAUAUUCUCAUAGUCUUAAGACUUUGGAGGUUAACAAGAUGGGUGGGCCCUUUCCAUAUCCACUUCAAUUCUGGUAAUGAGGUUAGCUCCAAAGAAGUUAAAUUAGAGAGUGGUCGUACCUGACAUGAAUUCAUUGAUUGAAAAGGUAAAUAAAUAUAGAAAAAGCAUUACGUACAAAGGCAAUAAUAGUAGUUAUUGAAUAAUAUAUUUUUACAUAAAGUGUUGGGAAAAACAACAAUACCCACGCGCAGCAACCACACACAAAAUAACAAGCUCAAAUCAAGAAUAAGAAAACACAAAUAUAUUUGGUUCAGCCCAACUCAAAAUGGCCUACUCCAAAUCUAAUCCACUAUCAAAUAAAUCUUUACAAUUGUGAGACUUUUAGAAUGAGAAAAGUCUCCUAAAACUCCUUACUCAAAACUUAACCCAAAACCCAAUUACACCCUUUAAUAGCCUACUCACUUAGCUAUUCUCUUGGUGUCUAACUCUCUGAGGUUACUAAACUAAAACCAAAACAUCUUAUUUAUAGGGGUGAAACCCUUUAUACCUUUACUAAACUCCCGAUGUGGGAUACAAGACAAAUUCAAACUUACUUAACUUUCGAUGUGGGAUUCUGAGAUUCAAGGCAAAUCCCAACAAAUCCUCCCUUGACUUGAAUCUCCAAACACUUCAACAGUAUCUGCAAAGCUAACAUGCUUACCUUUCUUCUUUUCUUUCAUCACAGGCAUUCCAACAACUGAGCCUCCAUCAAACAUGUACAAGUGAUUGACCCUAUUCCCUUGUAGAAUCACACUACCAUUCUUGUACACUUUCAACCAAUCAUUACUACCAUAAUAUGUGUACCCUCGAGAAGCUAACUCACCCAAAGCAAUCAAAUUGUAGUGACAAUUUGGUACAUACCUUACAUGACGAAGUGUCCUAAUAACACCAUUGUGAGAUUUAAGGCGAACACUCCCAAUGCCUUGAAUCUGCACAUUUUCUUUGUUAGCAACCACAAUAUCCCCAUACUUUUCAUUCUCAUUCAACUCCACAAAGCAGCUCCUAUCAUUGCAAACAUGAACUGUAGCAGCUGAAUCUAAAACCCAACCUUUGUCACUUUUCAAAGUCUGGGUCUCAUCCACACAAGUUGUCAAAACAACAUCAUCAUCAUCAGACAAAAUAGCAGCAGUAUCACUCUUUUCUUCAUCUGAUUUUUCUCAUCAUUCGCCCUUUUGAAAGCAGCCAUAUCCCUUCUCAGCUUCCUGCAGCGCACUUGGAUAUGUCCCUUCUUACCACAAUAAUAACAUUCUACAUCACUGUAAUCUCUGUCUCUUGACUUAGAUCUCCAUCUUGAUCCAUCAAUCCUCUUUUGAGUCCUCCCUCGAUCAAAACCCUCUACAGCUAGUGUACUCCCCCCAGGUGAUGAGUUCUGAGCUCCCAUAAACCUUUCAUUCUCAUGCAACAGGGCAGUCACAUCAUCCAACUUCAAAGUAGACCUACCUACCAACACAGUCUGAACUAAAGGCCUAUAAGACUUGGGCAAAGAUGACAGCAAAAUUAAAGCUUUCUCUUCAUCUUUUAACUCAUCAACAGAAAUCGCUAGCAAUUGAGAAACCAAUUUAUUAAAUUCAUUCAGGUGAUUAUGAAGACUCAUACCUUCUUCCAUCUUCAGAGAAUACAGAUCCAUCUUCAAACAUAAUCUAUUAGUCAAUGACUUCGAAGCAUAAAUACCUUCAAGCUUAUCCCACAAACUCUUCGGAGUACUCUCAGUCAACACACUGUACUUUACUUCUGGAGCUAACGCCAAUCUAAUAGUACUAACAGCCUUCUUCUGAAUCCUAUUCCAAUUAGCAUCAGACAUUCCUUCAGGCUUACUACUCUCCAAUGCCUGAUCCAAUCCUUGUUGUACUAACAGAUCUUGAAUCGUACUUUGCCAUAACAUAAAAUUACUCUUUCCAUCAAAUAACGGAAUCUCAAACUUAGACAUAGACAUACCAGACAUACCUUCUUCAGACAUCUUCAAACACUGCUUCACGAUCUCUUGGACCCACGAACCUCGAACCUCGCUCUGAUACCACUUGUUGGGAAAAACAACAAUACCCACGCGCAGCAACCACACACAAAAUAACAAGCUCAAAUCAAGAAUAAGAAAACACAAAUAUAUUUGGUUCAGCCCAACUCAAAAUGGCCUACUCCAAAUCUAAUCCACUAUCAAAUAAAUCUUUACAAUUGUGAGACUUUUAGAAUGAGAAAAGUCUCCUAAAACUCCUUACUCAAAACUUAACCCAAAACCCAAUUACACCCUUUAAUAGCCUACUCACUUAGCUAUUCUCUUGGUGUCUAACUCUCUGAGGUUACUAAACUAAAACCAAAACAUCUUAUUUAUAGGGGUGAAACCCUUUAUACCUUUACUAAACUCCCGAUGUGGGAUACAAGACAAAUUCAAACUUACUUAACUUUCGAUGUGGGAUUCUGAGAUUCAAGACAAAUCCCAACAUAAAGAACAAAAAAAGAGAAAAAAAUACAAAUAUUUUAUAAAUUGUGUUAAUAAAGAGAAAAAAGGUAUAUAGUGUUAGCCUUCUCAACUUGCAAGCCAUGUAAUCAGUAUAAAUUUAAUUUAUUUACUAAUAUAAUUUAAUUAAACUUUAUUUCUUUUAAACUUCAACAGAGGUUAAUUAUAUGAUCAAUAUAUAAAGUUUAGUAAUUUCUAAUUAUUCAUUAAAGGAGAAAUGGAGAGAGAACAAGUACCUCAAGCUCACCCAUUUCAUGGGGAAAAUCAAUGAUUUGCUCUAAUCCCUCACAGGCACAUAUAGAGAGUUCUUGUAGAUGCAACAAACUUUGAGCAAGGCAAGGCGGGAAGAUCGCUUUCAAUUCAUCACACCUCCAAAUUUUUACAACCUUCAGACUUCGGAGGCUUGCAUGAUAUUGAUGGGUUGAUUGUGAUUUCCAUAUACUCUCCAAUUCCGGUAAAAAAGCUAGAUCCAAACUUGUUAAAUUUGAGAGUAGCGGUGUCUGACUAAUUUCUUCCUUUUCAAGAAGCCCAUCCAUUUCAAAUACCACUUUCAACCGCUUACAAUUCUUAAUGGUCAAAUCUUUUAACUUUUGUAAGGACCUAAUAUGCCCAUCUAUUUCAAGAGAUGUCAAUUUUGGCAAGGGCGGAUGAUGGAGAAGGCCACUGUCUGAUUCUACAUUAUUAUCAAUUUCCAACUCAGUGGCAAUGUGUUCCAGUUCAUCGCAGCAUUCUAUCGUGAGUUGUUCUAGCAUCCCCAAGCUUUGAACAAGUGAUGGUGAGAAGAGAUGUUUCAAAUUGUGAUACAUGAUUCCAUCCAUGGCAAGUUUUUCGACAUUGCAUAACAAUUCCUUGAAACCAUAUGAUGGGACAUCCUGAUAAAUUCACAAUAUAAUGGAAACUAUUAGCAGAAUUAGAAACAUAUAAUUGGAUUUCUUUUAUUAGAAAAAGAAAGAUUUGAGUUAAAAGAACAAUUUUAUCUCUGGCUUUUCAUUAAAAAUUCAUUAUCGUAGAAAUUUAAACAAUCCAAAUUAAGUUGAGUAUAACUAGAAUCUAGAAAGCAUGAAUAAUGACAAAUAAUAUAGUUAAAACAUGACAUGGACACGACAACACAACAAUUAUAAAAGGAGGACACAGGUAUGGUAAGACGCUACAAUAAAAUAUAUUUUUAUAUAUUUUUUAUCCAUAAAUAUUUUAUACGAAUAUAAAUUGAAUGCAAUUACAAUGUAAUUAAUGGUGUGUGUAAAAGUAAAAUAAAAUAAAUUUAUAAACAAGAUUAAAAUUAUGUAGGAAAAUAAUCAAUAUAAUUAAUUUUAUUAAUUUAAUUUUUAAUACAAUAGAUUAUAAAAUUAUAAACUUUUUAAAUAAUUUCAUUUUCCCUUUUUUUUUCUUUUCUUUUCUUUUUUUUCCUUCUUUUUCUUUCUCUUCCUACAUUUUCUUUUUUUUCCUUUUCUUUCUCUUUCUCCUUCCUGUUUCCUUUUUUUAUUUUUAAUUUUUAAUUUUCCCUUUUUACCGUUUGUCAAAUUGUACGAUUUAAGAGCUUUAUAAAUUCAAUACUACUUGUUAUUAAAUAAUAUUUUAUUAUAUAAAGAAUAAAAAAAGAGAAAAAAAUACAAAGAUUUUAUAAUGUGUGUUAAUAAAGAGAAAAAAAGAUACAGUAUUCGUUUUCUCAACCUGCAAGCCAUGUAAUAAAUAUACAUUGAAUUAAACUUUUUUCUUUUAAACAUCAACAGAAGCCAAUUAUAUAUAAUACUUUUACAUGUAGAUGUGAAUGUACUAAAUUUUGACGUUUGUGUUAUAAGAUAAAUAAUUCAAUUAAUUAUUACCAAAAUAAACAAAAUUAAAACAAAAAUAUAGUAUAAGAGAAGUACGUACCUUUAAAUGGGCCUGCAACGUCUUAAACUCAGUUAAUUGGGGACAAUUGCAAACUUCGAACUCCUUCAAAGAUAAUGACAUAAUAAAAUUUCCUGGACAAAAACUACUCAACUUCUCUAAAUUUUUAAGUCUUAAAAUUUGCAAUCUCUGUAGCACAAUGGCUUGUGGUGGAAGUCCACCCUUAUCCUUUGUCAUAUUGAAGACCUCAUUUUCUGCUUCUCCGAAGAUUACAUGUUCCAAAGAGCCGCAAUCUUUUAUGUCGAGUUCUUCUAAAUGCACCAAACUUUGAGCAAGGGGAGUCAGAAAGAGAUAUGCCAGUUUCGCACAAUUCCAUACUUUCAUAGUCUUAAGACUUUGGAGGUUAACAAGAUGGGUGGGCCCUUUCCAUAUCCACUGUAGUUCUGGUAAUGACUUUAGCUCCAAAGAAGUUAAAUUAGAGAGUGGUCGUGCCUGACAUGAAUUCAUUGAUUGAAAAGGUAAAUAAAUAUAGAAAAAACAUUACAUACAAAGGCAAUAAUAGUAGUUAUUGAAUAAUAUAUAAUUUAAUAAAGAAUAAAAAAAAAGAGAAAAAAUACAUUGAUUUUAUAAAGUGUACUAAUAAAGAGAACAAAAAAAGAUAUAUAGUGUUAGUUUUCUCAACUUGCAAGUCAUGUAAUAAAUAUACAUUUAGAUUAGUUACUAAUAUAAUUUAAUUAAACUUCGUCUCUUCUAAUCUUCAAUAGAGGUUAAUUAUAUGAGCAAUAUAUAAAGUUUAGCGAUUUCUCAUUAUCCAUUAUAGGAAAAAUGGAGAGAAAACAGAUACCUCAAGCUCUCCCACUUCUUGGGGAAAAUCAAAGACUUGUUCUAAUCUAUGGCACCCAGAUAUUUCAAGUUCCUGUAGAUGCACCAAACUUUGAGCAAGGGGAGUCGGAAAGAGAUAUGCCAAUUUCGCACAGUCCCAUAUUGUCAUAGUCUUAAGACUUUGGAGGUUAACAAGAUGGGUGGGCCCUUUCCAUAUCCACUGUAGUUCUGGUAAUGACUCUAGCUCCAAAGAAGUUAAAUUAGAGAGUGGUCGUGCCUGACAUGAAUUCAUUGAUUGAAAAGGUAAAUAAAUAUAGAAAAAACAUUACAUACAAAGGCAAUAAUAGUAGUUAUUGAAUAAUAUAUAAUUUAAUAAAGAAUAAAAAAAAAGAGAAAAUACAAUGAUUUUAUAAAGUGUACUAAUAAAGAGAAAAAAAAAAGAUAUAUAGUGUUAGUUUUCUCAACUUGCAAGUCAUGUAAUAAAUAUACAUUUAGAUUAGUUACUAAUAUAAUUUAAUUAAACUUUAUCUCUUCUAAUCUUCAAUAGAAGUUAAUUAUAUGAGCAAUAUAUAAAGUUUAGCAAUUUCUCAUUAUCCAUUAAAGGAAAAAUGGAGAGAAAACAGAUACCUCAAGCUCUCCCACUUCUUGGGGAAAAUCAAAGACUUGUUCUAAUCUAUCGCACUCAAAUAUUUCAAGUUCUUGUAGAUGCAACAAACUUUGAGCAAGGCAAGGCGGGAAGAUCGCUUUCAAUUCAUCACACCACGAAAUGUUUACAACCUUCAGACUUCGGAGGCUUGCAUGAUAUUGAUGGGUUGAUUGUGAUUUCCAUAUACUCUCCAAUUCUGGUAAAGACGAUAGAUUCAAGCUUGUUAAAUUUGAGAGUAGCAGCGUCUGACUAAUUUCUUCCUUUUCAAGAAGACCAUCCAUUUCAAAUACCACUUUCAACCUCGUACAAUAUUCAAUGGUCACAUCUUUUAACUUUUGUAAGAAGCUAAUCGGAGGCGGACCAUGGCACAACUCUUUCAAACAAGCCAUUUCCAUCAUUCUUAAUUUCACCAAAUUAGAGAAUGCAGUUGGUCCCUUCUCUCCUGUUGUGUCCACCAAGCAUUCCAUAUCAUCGCACUUUUGAAGCCAAAGAGAAGUUAAUUCACCUACGCACUUUGGAUCUAUGUUUGGGACAAUAUUUUUGUGUCCCAUAACAUUCUUCAAAGCCAACUUUUCCACACUGCAAAGCAACUUCUCGAAUGCACUUAAUGAAGAUGAGAAUUCAGUAAUUUCCAAGGUUCUAGAGUUAAGCUCCUGCAUAAAUCGAAGAUCUUCAUUUACAGCUAUAUUGUAGCUUUGUAGUUUAGGGAACACAAGGUUUUCUGGAAAACAUUGAGCUGUAGAAACUCUCAGUGACAGCCCAGUCAAACGAGACAAUGAAUUCAACUCCAGUAAGUUAACAUUGUUUUCACAUGUCACGUGUAGCUCUCGGAGCGAUGUCAACCUGUUUGUUACACACAAAUACAAAAAACUAUUAUCAAACACUUCAAGUGAAUCAUAAAAAUAGAAGUAAACAUAUAUUAAUUUUAAUUAUCUCAGCAAAUAUAGCAUGAUUCUUCAGCACCUUUUCUUAUAAAAAAACGUUUGAGCAUUUUUUUACUGUUUUGUAAUUCAUGACAAUCAUGUUAUAUAGUAGCAUUUUUUUUAAUGGGAAGGACUACAGCUCUGAAUGCUUCAUAAUAACGGGAGUGAACAAAAGCUACAAAAGCUUAAGGUAGAUAUGUUUCCCAUAGUCUAAAAUUAAAUUACUUAAUAAAGUAAAUAAAAGAAAAAUAAAUAACAUAAAAAGAAAUACUUAAUUUUGUGCAAUAUGAUAAAAAAAUAAUUGACAUCUACUAUUACCUUGAUAGCAAAGUAGGGGGAAAAUUUAACUUUUUGCCUCUAGAGUGAGAAAAAUGUAGCGAUUUCAAUUUACGCAGUGCCACUAAUUCUUCAGGUACCUCAUAAAUAUUAGUAUCAGAAAAGGCAAGAAUCUCAAGGUUUUUCAUAUUUGCCAAUGAUGAGAUAUUCUCCAACUCGCAUUCUACAAGGCACAGAGUUCGAAGAUUUGUUAUCAAUUUAAGUACUUCUAUUGAGAAAAUGACAUUUUUGAGAUGCAAAACUUGGAGGGCUUUCAUUCCUUCAACAAAUGCAAUUGGAUCUUUCACUAAAAUCUUUCCUGUAAAAAUCAAAAUUUUGAGUUUUGGAAAUUUUAAUUUUUCAGGAAAAAUAUUUAUGUUGCUGUUCCAAAAGGAGAUUGCUGUAUGAGAUCCACAACUUUCUCUUAGAGGCCAUUCCAUCAACCCCUCUUUUACCAUGAAUAUAUUUUUCCCUGUAGAUGUAAUCCAAUGAGCAAAAUCACGAACCACGUCAUGCAUUCUUACAUAUCUUUCAUCAUCAUCAUUUCUCAGUAACAAACCAGAAUCUUGGAGUUUUCUUAGUGCUUCACGAAUUUCUCUCCGCAAGUCUUCAAUUAAGUUAAUAUUAGAAAAUAAUCCAUAACCAAUUGCAAACAUAAUCAACUCCUCAAUCUCAAUAUCCCAAUCUUCUGGAAAAAGGGAACACAGCAAGAAACAUGUUCGAAUAUUAUCUCCCUUCAAAUAAUCAUAACUCAGCUUAAGGCAGUUGUAGAUGUCUUGAGAAACCUCUUCAUUGUCUAAAUGUCUUGAGUCCUUGAGUCGCUUAUUUGCUGCUUGCCACCCAUCUAGAUUUGCACCUUUUAAAGCUUUUCCGAUUGUUACAAUUGCAAGAGGCAAACCCUUGCAUUCACUAGCAACCUCCUUGGCUACAUCAUUCAAUCUCGAAGAAACAUCUUUUAGACGAGCAGUAUCUUUGAACAGAGCCCAUGCUUCACAUUUGGAUAAGAUGUUGAGUUUAAAUAUCUGUUGACAAUCCAUUCGAACACAGACUUGUGGAUCACGUGUAGUCAGAAGAAUUUUGCAACCCUCGUGUUCAACACCGAAUGGAAUACCUAUAGUCCGCAAUUUAAAAUCAUCCCAAACAUCAUCAAUAAUUAUGAGGAUCUUGUUCACGCCUAGCAAUCUCAGCCGUAACUCUUCUGCUUUUCCUUCUUCCGUGCUUGCUUUAAAUUUCAAACCUAAUAAUUCUGCAAAUUUAUCUUGAAUUUUGUUGAUGUUUGGCGUUUGGGACAUUGUAGCCAUCACAACUUUGUGAAAGAGAUUUUGCUCUUUAGCAUGCUUCCCAACUUCUUUUGCCAAAGUUGUUUUGCCCACCCCUGGCAUUCCAUACAAUCCAAUCAUGUUCACACCAUCGGUAUUUAGAGCCUUGAUGAUCUCAUUGAAAGUAAACUUUGAAGACUCAUUAGGCAUGAAAUCUUUAGAGGGGAAGAAUUCUAUCCCCUGAAGAGGAGCAAGGUGGCCCACCCUUGGAAAGUUACAACUCUCAAGAAGUUUAUUGAUAGAAAUCGUCUUCUUUGCCACUUUCUUACUUAAGCAGUAUCGCCAACCCCAACUUGGACACCAAUUGAAACACUUCUUACGUUCUAUUUCAGCUUCCAAACUCUGGGUUUCUUUCAGUUCUGUCUCUGCCCUUUGUUGCCAGUCUUGGACAUCCUUCUCAAUUACCUCAUUUUGCCUUCUAGCCUCUUCGACAUCAUUUUUUACCCGAUCACUUUUCAAUUCAAGUUCUUUUCUCCUAUUCUUGAAUUCUUCAACAAUUUUCCCAAAUCGAAAAAAGUAACCAACAUAAGGUGAUGCAUAUUCUGUUGCGAGGUUUCCUACAGCAUUGGCAGCACCAGAGGCAGCAAAUUCAGCAGCCAUUCUUUGAUGAUCUGAGAUUGAAAAACAACUUUAAUGAUUAGUAAACAUAUAAACUGUUGGUAAAAUCAACACACACAUGCAAGACCCACACACAAAAUAGCAAGCUCAAAAUAAAAAUAAAAAUAAAAAUACGGUUGUAAGGUUUUGUGGGAUAUACACCUUAUAGGAGUAUUGAGACUCCACAUCUUAUGAGUGUGUAUGUUUGUUUGUGAGUGGAUUAAAGGAAAUUCAGAAGGUCCGCAUAGAUAUGAUGCAUGGAUACAUAUAAAUAUGUGUUUAAUUGUAUUGAAAAUGUGCAAGUAUAUGUUUAUUUGAGUUUAGAAUACUUCAUAAAAUUAGAGAAGAUUGAAAGAAUGUAUGAGUAUUGAUUGUUGAGUGAUUGAUAUGUUAUGAUGUAUGUUUUUAAUUCUUUACAACUAGUGAAUUUUAUUUCUUAUCCGUGAACGUAGAUCGAUUGGACCAAAUCACGUUAAAUUAUUAUCUUUUUGUGUUUGAUUAAUUAUUUGAUUUCGCCUCCGCUGACGUGAUUAGAUUGAAGCCUUUUGGCCUAACAUAAACAGCUAGAGAGACAAAAGCAAUUGUGAAUGUUUGCAAAGUACCUUAAUUACUUUGAGAGCCAAUUGUGAAGUAGAAGAGAAAAAUUGUUGAUGGAUCAACUUGGAAAUUGAAAAUUCUGCAAAUGGAAGAAAUUAUUCAGUGUUCAUGCGUAUAUUAAGAAUAUAUGUUACAUGUGUUAAGAGUAAAGGUAGUAUAUAUUUUGAUCAUUAAUCUAUCUAAUAUUUUCUCAAUUUUUAAAUAAAUCCAUUUAUUUCAUUUUUUUUCCUUAUAAAUGCAGUCUUUUAUUUAAAUAAGGUAGGGAAACAAACAAGUAAACAACUUUUGAGCAUAUAAAAAAUUAUGGAAAUAAAAAUAAUUAUUCAAGCAUGCCAAAUUGGGGAUGGACAUUCUAAAUUAAGCUGAGAAUUUUUUACAUCAUCAACCUUAAUAGAAAUUAAAAGAAAAAGGAAAUAAAGAUUAGUAACAAUAAGAUUAUAAGAACAUUGAAUUAUUUUUUUCUUUUUUUGAAGUUAAUCGCAAAUCAGAAUAGAUAUAGUAUGAAAUAAAAUAAAAAAUAGAACUCAAAGAAACCAAAAAAUUAUACAGCAAUACCAUUUUUGCUUCUUUUAUUGUAGAGAGAAAAACACAAGAAAAAAAAAAAAAGAGACAAAUAUACCGCGGACAUAUGAAUUUUCAGGAUUCAAGAUCGAGCUUUUUAUUUCUAUCCACGCAGUUCUUUUUUUUUUUUUUUUUUUUGAGUUCAAGGAAAACUUAAGUAGAAACCAACCUUAUUUGAAAUGAACAAAAGAGUUUCCAGUAUUUACAAAUAUUGAGAAGUUGUGCUUGAAAUUUUCGUGACUGAUUGAAACUACAGAGAAAAGUUUGAUCAAAGACUUGUUUAAUUUCUUUGGAUUCUCUUUUAUCACCGUUAUUAUCAUUUUACUUGCUCAAAUCCUUAGUGGAAGACAGCUAGACAAGGGCCCAAGCAUCUUUUCCUUUUGUUGGGAGUCGGGUGCGCAAUGCCUUCAAGUCACACGUUUACUUUUCUUUUUUGUGCUCGGUCAAUUUUUUUUUUUUUUCCUUGAAGAAAACUGAUCUAUUGAUGGUAGUGGGACAUGGCAUCAUUGAUGCACUUUUGAAUUAUUUUGUCUUUUCACAAUUAUUUUUCAACAAUCACUUUCUCACCGACUUUGUUUUGUUGGUUUUCAUGGAUUAAAUUCGAUGCGUUGAAAGAUUUAAUGAUUCAAAAUCUUGUUUAUUUCCUCCGUUGAUUUAUCCUAACGUAUGAAAGAAAUAGUUUUGCAUAUCAUCAUUUGCUGAUAUACUGGGAAAUUCCACAGCUUACACAAAUUUAUCGAAAUUAAAAUCUUAUAAUAAGAAUUUUUAUUUUUUUAAGGCAAUAAUUAUUUGAUAAUUGAUAUUACUUUCAUUUAAAAAUAUUUCUCAUAUAUUAAUUUUCACGAAAUUUAAAAAAAAAACCUUGAUUUUAAUUUUGUAUAAAAUUAAAAUUUCGUAAUUUUUUAUGUUAAAAAAAUUAAAAAUAAUUUAAAAUAUAAAAAAUUAAAUAAGAAUUUUAGAUUUUAAAAAAAGGAAUAGGAUAUAUAUGUAACAUCCCAAAAAAAUAACAAAAAAUAAAAGGAACGGAAUGAGUAGUUAUAAAUAGAUUUUUCGCACAAAUGCGUAAUUCGUCAUUUCAAGUUCUCGACUCUCUAACCAUUUACUCUUUUAGCUAUACUUUUUAUUUUGUCUCAGGAAAGAAGAAUAAGUAAAAGAAUCGAGAAUCGGAGAGAAAAGAGGAACCUCAAGCUCACUUUUGAAUUAUUGAUCCCUUUAUUUUUCUCCUUUUUCGAUUAUUUUUCAGCAAUGAUUGUCACCUACUCGGUUUUGUUGGUUUUCAUGGAUUAAAUUUAUUUUUCAACAAUAAUUUUCUCACUUACUCAGUUUUGUUGGUUUUCAUGGAAUUGGAUUCUGUAUCAAAUUAUGCCCCAUGCAAUGCAAUUAGAUUUAAUGACCAAACAAACAAAAGAAAGGGUUAAUGAUUCUAAAUCUCUUGGUUUUUUUUUUUUUUUCCUCCAUUGAUUCAUCCUACCACUUGAAAGAAGUAAAUUUUUAGAUUAUAUUAGCUGAUAUGCUGCGAAGUAUCUUAAUUACUUUGGGAGCAAUAUAUCGCUCCAUGAAAAUGAAAAUAAAAGAGAACAAAUGGUUGAUGGAUCAAUUUGGAAAUAAAAAUUCUGCAGAUGGAAGAAAGUAUUCAGUGUUCAUGCAUAUAUUAAGAAUAUAUGUUACAUGUAUUAGAGUAAGGGUAUAUUUUUAUCAUUAAUCUAUCUAAUAUUCUAUCAAAUUUUAAAUGAAUCUAUUUAUUUCAUUUUUUGUCCUUAUGAAUGCAGUUUUUUUUUUUUAAUAUGCCAGGGAAACAAAUAAGUAAACAACUUUUGAGCAUAUAAAAAAUUAUGGAAAUAAAAAUAAUUAUUUAAGCAUACCUAAUUAGGGAUGGAUCUUCUAAAUUAAACUGUGUGGACUUUUUACAUCACCAACUCCAGAGAUCAUUAGGAAAGGAGAAUUAAGAACCAACCUAAACAGAAAUUAAAAGAAAAAGGUAAUAAAGAUUAGCAGCAAUAAAAUUAUAAGAAAAUUGAAUUAGUUUUUUUCCUUUUUCUGGAGUUAAAAGCAAAUCAGAAUAGGUAUAGCAUAAAACAAAAUAGAAAAUAGAAAGAAAAGAAAGCAAAAAAAAUUAUACAGCAACACUAUUUUCUUUCAUUGCGGAGAGAAAAACACAGAAAAAAAGAUAAAUUAUACGCAGAUUUUUUUUAGUUCAAAGAAAACUGAAGCGGAAACCAACUUUAUUUCAAAUGAACAAAGAGUUUCAAGUAUCUACAAUUAUUGAUAAGUUGUGCUGGAAAUCUUUGAGACCGAUUGAACCUACAAAGAAAAGUUUGAUCAAAACUCGUUUAAUUUCUUUUGAUUCUCUUUUAUCAUCAUUAUUACCAUUUUCCUUGUUCAAAUCCUCAGUGUAUGACAACUAGAAAAGGGCUUAUAAUAAGAUUUUUUAUUCUUUUAUAAGGUACCAAUUAUUUGAUAAUUGAUAGUUGUAAAUAGAUUAUUCACACAGAUGCAGAAUUCCCUAUCUCAACUCUCUAACCAUUUACGCUUUUAACUAUUUGGUCUGAUAGGAAAAAAAAAAGUUAAAAAAAUGGAGAAAUGGAAAGAGAAGAGGUACCUCAAGCUCACCCAUUUCUU
rnacentral:lncRNA from 1 species